UUUCCGUAGGUGAACCUGCGGAAGGAUCAUUAUUGGAUUUUGAAACUUCAGGCUGCUGCUGGCUCUCCUCGGAGGGCAUGUGCACGCUUGUUGUCCAUUAUUUCUCCCACUGUGCACAAAUUGUAGACCUUUCAGUAGGCCUAUGUUGUUUUUCACAAUCUCUGAAUGUAAUAGAAUGGUUUUGAAUCUUGGGAAAUACAAUACAACUUUCAGCAACGGAUCUCUUGGCUCUCGCAUCGAGGAAGAACGCAGC
rnacentral:misc_RNA from 1 species